CUCGUAGGCGGUUCGUCGCGUCCGGUGUGAAAGUCCAUCGCUUAACGGUGGAUCCGCGCCGGGUACGGGCGGGCUUGAGUGCGGUAGGGGAGACUGGAAUUCCCGGUGUAACGGUGGAAUGUGUAGAUAUCGGGAAGAACACCAAUGGCGAAGGCAGGUCCCUGGGCCGUUACUGACGCUGAGGAGCGAAAGCGUGGGGAGCGAACA
rnacentral:rRNA from 1 species